GAUGAAGAACGCAGCGAAAUGCGAUAAGUAAUGUGAAUUGCAGAAUUCAGUGAAUCAUCGAAUCUUUGAACGCACAUUGCGCCCGCCAGUAUUCUGGCGGGCAUGCCUGUUCGAGCGUCAUUUCAACCAUCAAGCCCCCGGCUGUGUUGGGGACCUGCGGCUGCCGCAGGCCCUGAAAAGCAGUGGCGGGCUCGCUGUCACACCGAGCGUAGUAGCAUACAUCUCGCUCUGGGCGUGCUGCGGGUUCCGGCCGUUAAACCACCUUCAUACCCCAAGGUUGACCUCGGAUCAGGUAGGAAGACCCGCUGAACUUAAGCAUAUCAAUAAGCGGAGGA
rnacentral:misc_RNA from 1 species